ensembl:lncRNA
AGCUCAGGUUUAACCCUUAACCUUUUCCGGCUCGGGUUCGGGCUCCGGCUCCGGCUCGGAGAGAACAUCACUCCCCAGGUUCCUGACAAGCGGGGGCGCUGAAACAGCGACCUCAACAGUGGACGCCGAGGCCUACGGGAAACGUAGCCUUGACUCCUCCUGGUUCACCGCGCGGCGCUCUGGGAAGGGGAUUCCGGGCUCCCUCUGCGCAUGUGCAGCCGUAGCCCCGCCUCCUCCCUCGUCUUUUCCGGACUCCGCGGGAGCCAUUAGGUGCCCAGAGUCUCCUGAGAAAGUAGAGGGCGCGCCCGGGCUGAGCCACAGUUCUCUACACUCGCCCAGGAGCCACAGAAAGUGAACAUCCCUCAGGUGUCAGUGUCAUUCAAGCACGUGCCUGUGGAGUUCCCCAGGAGGAGUGGCCGCAGGUGGAGUCUGCACAGAGGACCCUGUACAGAGACGUGGUGAAGCUGGAGAACUACAGUUGCCUUGUCUGGGAUAGAACUCUCCUCUACUUGAUUCGGCUUUCACACAAAAACACAGACUCACCUGGUGUGGAUAAAACACAAGUACCCAUUACUGCUGCCUCCCAUCUUCCCAGGACCCAGUGGGAAGGAAAAGGAAGGUUCUCUAGCCAAGAGUGGAGGAACAGGAGUCUGGGAACAAGGAAAACAGUCCUAGAAGCAGAAGAAGAGUAUGGGAUCACUCAUGGACAGUGCUGCCAUCUCAUUUGGACAGGUCACUUCCUAGAUGUGCUGAGUGUGCAAAUUCUGUCUCCUUGUCUCAUCCAGUGUUUCUCUGAAUGGAAGCAAGUAUCUGGGCCCCAGGUGUGACUUGGUAUGUGACCCUAGCCUGUACAUCAGCCCCUUUGGGCCACCACCUCCCCUUGGUUGGAAGUCCUCGGGCUGUGGGUAGAUGGAAAACAUCCCAGAAUGGGAGUGACAUGCUCUGCGUUCCAUAGUACUGGCUUUGCCAUUGAUUGUGUGACUCAUUCUGAUGUUCCAACUGUGAAGAUCAAAUUUGAAGUGAUGGAUAUGUUAUAUUAAAUGUAUUAAUAAGAGCAGAAAUUAAAUCUGUUGGGUUUAAAUGCAACCUGUAGGGUUUGCUUCCUCUAUAAGCCUGGCUGUCUCUGCAGGAGCUGAAGGUUGCUUCUUUAGGCUUGUUGUCUGGGAGCUAGAGCAGAGUGGAGAGAGUGAGGUGGAGCCACGGUGAGCCAUAUUGCACCUAAUUUUUCCUCCCCUCUAAGUCUGAAUACUGGCAGUGGUGAGUCAGGUGGUUCUAAGGGCUCCUUUCACUUUACCAUUCAUGAUGACCCCACACCACCUCUCCCUCCACGCCACCUUUUUCUCCUUCUUUGGAUGCCCCAACCUCUUUGACGUUUUUCAGCUGCCACUCCACUCAGCUCUUAAGCAACUUUGACCUUGAAGACAUGGAUGUGGAUGAGAACAAGGAUCCACUUGGCACCUUUGGCCACUUUUGCUUCAGUGAACUGAGUGGGGUGUCCAAGAAGAAACCCUGGUUUUAGGAAGACGUCUAAGAAUGUUCCAAUGAUCCCCGCCUCCUGAUAGUCACACCUUUGGCAAGCUUCCAUGUUGGAGAGGCCCACAGGACAAGGAACUGAGGGUUGCCUCCAGCCAACUCCAGCCCACAGCCACCAGGAAUUGAGGAUCUCAGUCCAACAGGCCUUGAGGAGCUGCAUCCUGCCAACAGCUAUAUAAGUGAGCUCAGAACUAUGUCCUUCUCCAGUUGAGCCUUCAGAUGAGACCCCUGCCCCAGCUGAUACCUUAAUUGCAGCCUUGUGAGAGACCCUGGAGCAGGGAACCCAGGUAGGCCUUGCCUGGACUCCUGACCCAGAAAAACUGUGAGUUAAUAAAUAUGUGUUUUUUUAAGCCACAAAA